GAAUAUUGGACAAUGGGCGCAAGCCUGAUCCAGCCAUGCCGCGUGUGUGAAGAAGGUCUUCGGAUUGUAAAGCACUUUAAGUUGGGAGGAAGGGUUGUAGCCUAAUACGCUGCAAUCUUGACGUUACCGACAGAAUAAGCACCGGCUAACUCUGUGCCAGCAGCCGCGGUAAUACAGAGGGUGCAAGCGUUAAUCGGAAUUACUGGGCGUAAAGCGCGCGUAGGUGGCAAAGUAAGAUGGGUGUGAAAUCCCCGGGCUCAACCUGGGAACUGCAUCCAUAACUGCUUCGCUAGAGUACGGUAGAGGGUAGUGGAAUUUCCUGUGUAGCGGUGAAAUGCGUAGAUAUAGGAAGGAACACCAGUGGCGAAGGCGACUACCUGGACUGAUACUGACACUGAGGUGCGAAAGCGUGGGGAGCAAACAGG
rnacentral:rRNA from 1 species